UCAAGGCAAAGACUUUAGCCACUAGGCCACCAUGCCGGGCCCUGAAACUUUGGUCUUUUUAAUUUCCUUUCUUCCUCCGAGUCUUCCUCCUUCCCAGCAGCUACUCCUUCGUGUAUGGUUGUUAGUGUGUCUCUCUUUAAUAUUCGCUUCUUCCCUUUAUAAUGUAUUACUUCUGCUUGGGCGAGGAAACCAGAUAACCAAACUUACUUACUAGACUUUUUGUGAAAACACAAGUUCAGGUUGUGGUACAAGUCCCAGAACGCUUUCCUGUGAUGUGUUGGAAAGAACUUUAUGGCACUGACACUUGACAUGGUGCAGAAUGCUUCCUGGGUCUUGCCAAGGUUCAGCUAGUUGAGGUAAAGAGAAGUCAGUCUUAGUCCUGGUUCUCUAGUUUAGAGGAAGGCUUUGAGAGGUUGCAUUGCUUCCCGUUCAGUACAGAUCACACGAGAGCUGGGGUCCCGGGGGUUCCUACGUAAGUAUUGAUAGCCUAUAGGACACCAGCCAACACACCCACAACACAUGUAACAGAAAACCUUGGGAAACGAGAGGGCCGUUUUUGUUUUGUUUUGUCCCCUUUUAAACUCUGCCUUCUGGCCUUCAUCCUCCUUAGAUACUUUUGACCUUUAGGUGCCUUUAUGGGAAUUGAGGGUCUGAUAUCCUGCCCCGAGGAAUAGCUAAUGUUACUGCUGAUGUUUUCAGGGAUUUUAACAUCAGAUUUGAAUGGAUGAGUGAAGCUCUAUUCCUUUUCUUAAAUAUGGGAAGGACUGAAGACAUUUGGUGAAGACAAUCAUUUCUGUUUAUUGAUGUGGCUGGUUUUCACACAAUUUAUUUAGGAAGCUCUCUCAGUAACUCUAGGGCCGGUAUUUGAAUCUGAUUGAAGGCUCUGGGCUAAACCAGACAGUUGCACUCCUGUUUGCUCUGCCACCAAUUUGAUGUGUGACCUUGGGCAAGUCAUUGUUCACUGUCUCUGGGCCUCAGUUGCCUUAUCUGCAAAAUGAGGGGGAGUUGGGCUAGAUUUGUUCUUCCAGCUCUGAAUUCCAAGUGACCUUGCCUACCUGGCAGCAGUUAUAGGUUUCUUCCUUACCUUUGCUCUGCUGUGUGAGGGGGCUUUUUUCUUAUUUCCAUGUUAUUUCAAGUGAGACUAGGCUUAAUAGUUCAUUACUGUUCUAUGGACAAGAAGUUACAUAAUAUGUCCUUAAGACUUAAUUUUAACCAAAGGCCUAGCAUAGCUUAGGGGCUGCAAUAAACACUUGACACAAAAAUCUAAGAAGGAGGAAAAGAAAGCCUUCAUUUGCUUUCUGUCAACUUUGUUUAAAGUUUUAAAAGGCUUUCUUUGAGUCAUGACAUUCCAGCUUUCAGGGUGACAGAUGUGACACCAUCCUCCUAAGUGCUGUGUGCUGGUGAUUUUUUUUUCUGAAAUGGAUGAGAACACCUGUGAUCAAUGCCUAAUGAUAUUUAGAGAUCAUUUUUUUUGGAGUCUUUGCUUUCUUAACUCAUGUGUGCUCAAAACAGGGAAAUUCUGAACUGCAUCAACUGAAAUGGUUUACUUGUGUAUGACUCAAUAAAACAAUAUCAGUGUAUAUGAUUAUUCACUUUAUUUUUGGCACUUUUUAGAUCCAUUUUGAUUAGGUAACCUCUGGCUGGAUCGUUGCUUUCAGAAUUGUCUUCCAGCCUAUUCUUGGAUGAAUAGACUUGGUAGGUUUGUUUUUCAAGGACCCAGGAAGCCUUCUGUAGUGAAGGGGUCGGUUGGGAUGGGAACUGAGGAGUCCUGGUAGAGGCCAGCUCUGUGACAGCUGGAGAGAAAGGGAUGAACCCCACGCUGUUGCCUGGGCUGCCUGUUACUGAUGGGACACGGACUUAGAUUGGUUAGAAGGCUCAACACAGUGUUGGCAGACUUCCUCCAAAUACUGGCUUCUGUUUCCUGCAUUGGACAUGUGAAUGCCUCUAAAUGAGGCAGACCUAGUGGGCUGCAGAGUGCAGGGAGCAAGAAGCGACUGAGGUAGCGGGGACAGAUUGGGUGGUGGUGUUUUCCAGCUCUGUCCCCUCUCCUAAAGGCACAGGAAUGCAACUGUGCCAGAACCCAGAGAGGAGCCACUCUGAGCUUUUGCUUUCGGGAAAGCUGGGCAGCUGAAGCUCCCUUAGUUCCUUUGUGGCUUUCUGUGUCCUUUUGCCUGGUUGAAGUCUGUGGCUAAAAAAUAGUUGAACCUUUCUUGAGAACUAUGUAACAAAGUUUGUUUUUGAUUAAAAGAGAAAGCCAACUAAAAUCAUGAUGUGCUCAUUCUUUUUCUUAAGCUUGUGGAUGUCUUGGAUCUGGAAAGAGUUCCUCAUCAUGUAGAGCAUUCUCAAACCUGAGAAGAAGGGAAAGGAGCCACGGUGAUUGGAGAAGAGGUGGGGUCUAAGACUUGAUGAGAACCAAGAUGCUUGAUGAAGAACCAGAAAAUGCAAAUUAGAGACCUAUAAUUACCCAUCUAAAGAUUGUAAAAAGCUCUCUCCCAGUGGCCUCUCCUGUGUACUGGGGAUCAAAGCGGGUUGUGGGGAAGGGGUCUGUCAAGUAAGGGCUUCUGUGUACAGCAUAGUCACACCAGUAUUUUCAUUCUGAUUUUACUGGCAUGAGGUCUCAAGAUGUAUAUCAGCUCAAGAAAUUAUUUUCAUCUGUUUGCUAAUCUAAAGUUAGCAGUAUAUUGGGCUAGAACCUGAGUGUUAGACUGACAUUGAGUUGAGAAAAAAAAAUUCGUAGUGAAGUGCCU